AUCAUUUUGUAGUUCAUGAGCACAACAAUUGUGUGUUCACAAACAUUGGGAGACUUGUGUCUUCCUGAAACCUUGUUACGACUUUGGUAGGUGACUUGUCUGAGG
ensembl:snoRNA